GGGCUUGCUUCGGUAGCACAUAUACUAAAAUUGCAACGAUACAGAGAUUAGCAUGGCCCGAACACAAGAUGACAUGCAAAUUCAUGAAGCAUUCCAUAUUUUU